rnacentral:tmRNA from 1 species
UGUUGAUGAUCUUGCCGGCCUUCUUCGGGAUGAAGCAGCGCUUGCCGACCUCGCGGCUGAGGAAGAACAUGGCGUUGAUGUUGAGGUCCAUCACCUUGUUCCAGGCCUCGUCCGGGUAAUCCUCGGCCGGCGCGCCCCAGGUGGCGCCGGCGUUGUUCACCAGGAUGUCGAUGGCGCCGAACUUCGCCAGCACGGCGUCCACCAUGGCGGGGAUCCGGUCGAACUUCGAGAGGUCGUUGGUGACGGUGAGCACCUCGAUGCCUUUCUUCCUCAGGUGCGCCUCCGCCUCCUUCAGUUCGUCGGCCUUGCGCGCCGUGAUCGCCACCUUGGCGCCCAUCUCGCCGAGCGCCUCGGCCAUCUGCAGGCCGAGCCCGCGCGAGCCGCCGGUGAUGAGGGCGACCUUGCCGGU